GUCCUGUUCCUGCGCUUCCCAAGCUGGGUAGAAACGGCGAGAGGCUGGGGGUUAGAAACGACAGGUUCCCGGCGGGCUGUGCCGGGGCUUCGCUGUGUGACCUUGGGCUGGCGUCUGGGCUCUCUGGGCCCUUGUUUCCGCGAGUUAAACGUAGGGGCGGGGGAGUUUCUCUGGCCCUGCCGCCUGUGACCUAAGGAGCCCCGUGACCUCUCCGACCCGAGCCCACCCCCGGCCCAGUCUGCGAGCAGCUCCGGGACAAGCACUCCCGGCGAAGACAUGUAGGCUCUCAGAGCCUGCGUUUCCCUCUGUAGAGCAGGCCUAGUUACUGUCUUCAGGGUGCACGCGUCUCCGUCCCCGACCCGCACCCUCACCGCCGGGGUAAGCUGAGCCAGGCCCAAGCGACAGCUGGGGUUGUCCGUGGGGCUGCAACCCAGGAGGAGGCCCCAACAAUAGAGCCCCAGAGGACGGAGACAAUGGGCCUCUCUGUCGGCCCAGCCGUCCCCGCCAUCCAAACAGAAGCAGCUGACGGAGGACUGCCGGGCUGGGAUCCCUGGGCUCCGCGGGGGCGGCUGUGUGCCAGGGCGGGGCACAAGGGAAGCGCACAGACGUUUGAAGAGGGGCCCCCGUGUGCCUGCCAUGAUUGCAUGAUGGCAUCUGAGCCUCACAACCUAAUCCUGAGAAAGAGAUGAGUUCUUAAACAACCAGAAGAUACUGCAGGUUCAAAGUCCCGGAGGCCAGAAGGAGCUUGCAUUCAAAUAAGAAAAUAUAUUUUCUCAAGGAAAUAUAAGUUGUAUUUCUAUGUAACUCUAUGCACCAGGAGGGCCCCAGCAAGAAAGAGAGGUCUCACUCCACAGGGAUUUCUGAAAAAAG
rnacentral:lncRNA from 10 species